rnacentral:rRNA from 1 species
CAGUAGCCACGGGAAUACGAAGGGGGCUAGCGUUGUUCGGAAUUACUGGGCGUAAAGCGCACGUAGGCGGAUAUUUAAGUCAGGGGUGAAAUCCCGAGGCUCAACCUCGGAACUGCCUUUGAUACUGGAGAUCUUGAGUUCGGAAGAGGUUGGUGGAACAGCUAGUGUAGAGGUGAAAUUCGUAGAUAUUAGCUAGAACACCAGUGGCGAAGGCGGCCAACUGGUCCGAUACUGACGCUGAGGUGCGAAAGCGUGGGGAGCAAACAGGAUUAGAUACCCCCGUAGUCCCUGUCUCUUAUAC